GAGUGUGGGAACUCGAUACAGCAACUAAAACAAUCCAUCCAUCUGAAUGCUACGCGGGGCAACUGAGAGGAAUCAGCGUGUGUGUUCAGAUGACAGACGAUGAUGGUGAUUUUCAUCUUGGCACGACGAGUGGAGAUGUCCUGAAAGUGAACACAAGCAGCAAGGUGCUGACUGCCUGUGGGCCCCAGAAGAAGAAGUUGAGCAUGGGAGUCACAGCUUUGCUUUUGCCGAAGACAGGAGGUUUAAUAGUCGGCACCGGAGAAGGGACUGUAGCUCUCUGUACAGGCUCAGACUUCCAAGUAAAGAAGUGAGUUUGUAGAUGGAAGAAUCAGGAGGGGAGAGGUGACAAUUCCUCCAAAAGGGUCACGGUAUGAGAACCAAUCAUUUCUAUGGAAAGGCAUAAUCCAAGUCAGUCUCAGUUUUUCAGUCCUGCAGACACAAUACACGGUCUGGUUCCAGCGUCAUGAGGUUGGAGCAAACUGAAAAUGACUGCGUGCGUUUGCAGGGAAGUGCCC